AUUUUGUUCUAGUGACCCUGGAGGGCGAACUCCAUCUUUAACUCAGAAAACAUCUGUCUUUCUUCGUCUCCCUUUUGGUUUCGACCUCCUGAAGUGCACGAGGUCUCCCCCUCUCCGGGCUGCUCACACCUCUUCCCUUCCUUUCCCCUUCAUCUCUUUUUCAGACCAUUGGCUUCUAUCUGAGUAGCGGGACGUUUCUCAGGCUCCUGGUCUACUCAGCCAGCAGCGCUCCAUUUCUUCAGCAUUAGAUAUGGGUUGUGCCUUCCCUAAUUCUUAGAGGCAGCAGGCUCUGGUUCACUGUCAAGGUUCACUGUCAAGAAACUAGAUGGAUUCUGACACAUGUGAUCUAAGUUCCUUCCUUUAAGCGCCUUCUGGACUCUGUGAAAUUUAAAGGUACACGACUCUGUCAGAACCCACCAAUUCCAAAGACCCAUCUCAUACUGACAACCAAAAGCUUUCUCAAGGGUGAAUGGCAUGUGCUUGGAAUAUACUAUCUCACAAAGGUGGAGAAUCUCAGAGCUUUGACCUUCUGCAUGUGGCUCCUCGGUAGACCAGGAAGAGAAGCAGACAUGUUGGAUUGGGUUUUGGUGCACUGUGGGAAGG
rnacentral:lncRNA from 1 species